ACAGGAUAAAACAAUUAGACCAGUUGGGUGUUGAUCGCCAGAGGUAGUGAUAACAUGAUACUGUGUUUCUCUGUGGGAUUAUAUAGAUUCAUGUAUAUCGUGUAACCGCUUCAAUAGCUGCCUAUGAUUGCUUGGUUCUAGUCUAAGUAGUUGAUGGCUAAUCCAAGUUUGAUUUUCACAUCAUUGACUGGGUCGGUUGGGUCGGUAUGCUGUGUAGAAUCCUACCUGGAGCAAAUUUUAUCUCAUGGUUUUUUUCAUGUUAACUCGGUGAGUUAUUUUUCUACAUUUUUUUAAGAUGAAUCAAGAUUUUAAAUCAUGGCAUUCACUUUUUUAAUAAAAUAUAGAAAGGUACUAAAGACGGAAAUUUUGUAUUGACUGCUGUAAGAUUAUAAGAUACAUGCAAAGCCUUUUCAGAACCACUUCAUGGGCUAUCAGUUUAUAUAGGGUUUACUAUUUAUCCUUUUAAAGGUUUGUGUUAGAUAUUAUAUUAUCAACACAAGUUGUUUAAUCUGUAAUGCAUAAAUGAAUUUAAAUUUUCUUGUCUCUAUUUGAAGAUUUUGAAAGGUUUCUAUCUUGACUGUAGGAUUUAUUUCAGCCACCAGCUCAAGUGCAUUUGCACUUAAAAUGGACAAACAGAAAACUGUUCAACUGACGCUAAAGUAUUGGGCAAUAGCCCACAAAGUGAUCGUAUAUUGUAAUUUGAAACAUUGCUGCUUUGGAGAAGUUAAAUGAGGAAGUGACCAACUUUUAGGCUGUGUAUUUGAGAGCAAUUUGUAGCAGGUGGCUUAUAAAUUUUCUUAGCUUCAUUUAUUGUGCUGCAGCAUCCUGGAAAUAUUGCUGUGGAUGAUGUCAGUGGUGGGAGGCUGAUCUUCUAUGACUUUGGAAUGAUGGGGAGGUGUUUUAAGCAAUGAUCCAGAUGGGUGUCCUUGUUCCUUCUGGAGAUAUGACAGCUGUGAGAAUGACUGCUUUGUUCUUUGUUAAUAGCUUCAAAGAACAUCUUGCAGCACAAUGGAGAGAGAGGGAAAUGGUAACUAGUGAACUUUGGUUUUAAGAAGCAACUAAGCAAAGAAGAAAGAUUUGAGAAGAAAAAAGCAACGAUUAGCUGCAAUAGGUAGUGUGUUUAGUUUUUUUUUCCCCUGUGCUAAUUUAGAAUAGAUAUAAAAUAUCGAUAGUUGUGAUGAUUAUGAACUAGUGUAACAGGGAAGACCUUUUGGCAAUUGCCACAGAUCAUCCUUUUCGACUCCCUGCCACAGUCACAUUGAUUUGUUGUUAAGGCAUUUUCAGGUUUCUAAUUGAAAUACCAAAUAAAUCACUAGUUUCAUAUUUGUAUCCCCUUAAAAGAAGACUCUACGUAAAAGUAAAUUUUUGUCUGGGUAGUAUUGGACGGGAUAGGCAAGGUCUUUAACCUAAGAUUUGACAUCACUGAGAUUGCCAAACUGUGAGUCUGGUUCUGAAGUCUUUUAUAUACCUUCUCAUGCUGAUUACUCAUUCUUUGGAUCUUCAAUAUCUAAUGGAAAGAUUAUAUGACUGUUUUGCAGCUAUGCCUCUGAAUUACUUAGAUUUCAAAAGGCCGGUUACUAAGUUGUUGUGAAGGCAACCCUUCUGCUCUUCUGUUGGACCUGCAUGUUAAUUAAUUGAAUGCCAGGAUUUGCCAUUAUCUGUUAAUUAUUUUAUCAUACAGGACAUUCAUCAAGAUUAGAUCAACAGUCACGCUCAUUUUACAAUCUAUUUGGACAGCUUGACAGAGUUGAAAAGCUUGCUGAAAUUGCUCAGUGAGUGGUAAUGUCUUAGUCUAACAAUCUUCAUCAUCUCGCAUCAUGGUUGUACCUUAGCUGCAUUUACAUCCUCUUGCGGGAGCAAGGUGAUCUUAGGCCUGGGUGUGAACUUAGGAGUCUGAGAGAGCAUUCCAAAGAGCCACUGAUACAAGAAAAACAAUCGGAAAUAUCAACAAUAAAGUCGAAUUUUGGAUACGGCUCAGUCUCAGGGAUGAUCCAUUUCUUUCAAAGAGAAUAUAUGUUCUUCA